UACGAAGGGGGCUAGCGUUGCUCGGAAUCACUGGGCGUAAAGGGUGCGUAGGCGGGUCUUUAAGUCAGGGGUGAAAUCCUGGAGCUCAACUCCAGAACUGCCUUUGAUACUGAAGAUCUUGAGUUCGGGAGAGGUGAGUGGAACUGCGAGUGUAUAGGUGAAAUUCGUAGAUAUUCGCAAGAACACCAGUGGCGAAGGCGGCUCACUGGCCCGAUACUGACGCUGAGGCACGAAAGCGUGGGGAGCAAACAGG
rnacentral:rRNA from 1 species